rnacentral:lncRNA from 1 species
CUUUGUGGUUGAUAGCAAUGACAGGGAUCGAGUUGUUGAGGCAAGGGAUGAAUUACACAGGAUGUUGAAUGAGGUAGUUCUUGGCUCCCUUAUAUUUUCAUUCUGCUUGUUUAUGUUGCGAUUUCUAAUGUUCCUGUUGUAAAUGGAGACGAGGAGGUUGUAUGCCUUCUGAAUUUUGUUGUGUUAUUUAGUUUUCUUCUGUACUUAAAUUUGUGGAUUCGAUUAAAGUUUCAUUUAGUUUGAUACAUACUUUCCUGAGCUACAUUUGUGAAUUCCAUUCUUUUAGUUAUGAUCCUUUUUGCCUUUAUAAAUUCUACUUCAUUUGUACUAAGACAAAACUCUGGUUUUGUUCCUGUAAAUGACUAGAACCUUGUUUAGGAUACAACAAUGGUACAUAUUGCUUAUGUAUACUUGGAACUAGGGUUUGAAGUUAAAAUUUUUAAUUGUUUUCAGGAUGAACUAAGGGAUGCUGUUCUGCUUGUAUUUGCCAACAAACAAGAUCUUCCUAAUGCAAUGAAUGCCGCCGAGAUAACUGAUAAGCUUGGUCUUCAUUCUCUCCGUCAACGUCACUGGUAAGUUAUUGAUAUACGGUGGGAGUCUACUGAUUAGUCUCUCUCUUGAGCUGGGAAAAACUUUCACCUUGAUUUAAAUACGGAUGGUUCAACUUAAACGAAUGAGUUCUUGAACAUCAAUGCUAAGAUCUUGGGCAAAAGUUGAAUACUGGAUAUAAUUGUUGUUCUUUUUCCAGGUACAUCCAGAGUACUUGUGCAACCUCUGGAGAGGGCUUGUACGAGGGGUUGGACUGGCUUUCCAACAACAUUGCUAGCAAGGUAAUAAAUUCAUUGUUUUGUUUAGAAUAUCAUCUCAUGGUAUUAUUUCUGGAAUCUAUUACGGUGAAUCCCUCAUAAAACAUGACGGAUUAGAUUUUUUUUAUUAGCAAGAUACCAUCCAUAUUUGAAUUCUAUAUUUCUGACGGCCCCCUCUCUCGUUCUUUACAGGCAUGAGAGAAUUGAGGCCAAGGAGUUUGGUUGCUUGCCUUGGAGAUUCUGGGGAAGGAUAGUUUUCUUUAUUUCGAUGAAUGUUGUAAUAGCAGAAUGUUUUGGAGAAACUCUCUCUGAAUUCGUGUGUGUGUUUGCUACUCUAGCUAUACUGUUUAGCUGUAAACGAAGUUUCUAUGUCGUUACCUUUGUUUUGACACAUGAGCCAAGGUUAUAUUUUAUCGUGUUUGCUUCAUUAAUCUGUUUGAUUUUUACGAUGAAUUGGAUUCGAUAACUUGUUAGAUUCAAGGAUAGUUGAAAUAAAAGGGACCUUUGAAUUUUGUCCAGGUUGAUUUUGUUUGAGAACU